UAAAAAAACUAACACUAAGUCUUGAGAAUAAAACAAAAUACAAUCGGCACCCACUCCAUUCCACCUACCUCCUCCCUAGGCCCUAGCCUUACCGCCAUCCUUCCCCUGUCGUCGCAUCUCAACCGCGCGCCGCUGCCAUUGCGCCGCCGCCGCCGCUGCGAGGCAUUUUUACUCCUACAAUCUGGCCACAUCCUACAAUUUUGGAAUUUUAGAAUGGAAAAUGAUUUCCUAUAGAGAGGUGAUGAUGCUAGGCGAUUUAUGAAACUCAUGCUCUCUAACCCUGAUGUUGGUUAAGGAAACUUUUGUACCUUUACUUAAAAUGACUCUAUUAUUUUGUACCUUAUAGUUACAAUGUCUCUAAGCUUCUUUUGUAGGUACUUUUGAUUGUGUUUAAGUUAAUGGAGGUCAGUUUUACAAUCAUCUCUUAGUUCUAAUUUUCUUCUUCAUUAAGUUGAAAGCAACUGCCAUAGGCCUUCCCCCCUUUAUGAGGUGACUUAAUAAUUUUUACAGGUUACCUUUUGCUGCCACUUGUUAAGGCGGAGGCAGAUUAGUUCUACUUCUAUCUUUGGAAAUGAAAAUAGGCUGAAUGAGAGACUUGACCUUUCAAGACUGAAUGGCAACGAGGCUUAGGCGAUGGAAUCAUCACAUACUCUAUUUCCACGAUAUAAUGCGAUUACCCUUUGCCUCUAUUUGUUUCAUCAAUAUAGCUGUUGCCCAAACUUCAGGAACAGAGGCAGCCUUAGUAAAGUUAAAUACAUGUUCUGGACAGUGAUGAAGCUCUCUUGAGCUCCUGAGGUGGCUCAAGGCUAUGGGAUUGAGUAAUGUGUGCCUCUAAGAUCCAAAAGGAGAAAUUUAUUGACGAGACUUCUAAAUUUUUGAUGUGCACAAAAGGUAGCAAACUUCCUUUGGUUACGAAGUGUGUGGAUUGCAAAAUAUAAUUUUUUUGGUGCAGAAUACACGUGAUGGCAGCGCAGCUGCUUCAUUCGUGCAGUCUCCAUCCUUUAAGAGACUAGCUAAGCAGAAAGGAGUUAAGAUCAACUGAGCUCGGUUCCCUACAUCGUCAUUUCUAAGAAGCUUUGGAGACACAUUCUUCAAAAAUGAGAGAAGAGGGGAAGAGAAGGUUUCCCUGUAUAUUCUAAUGUUUGGUAGUACAUAACCACUCAAUAGGAAUAGUCUGAGCUUAGCUUCAUAAUUUGAAUCAAAAUGGUGUUGGGUAUUUUUGAUAUAUAAUCAACUAGUUUAUCCAAUUUUAGCAUGAAAUGAUUGACAUAGUCAUUUUUUUUAUGGUGA